rnacentral:rRNA from 1 species
ACGGAAGGCAGCAGUGGGGAAUAUUGGACAAUGGGGGAAACCCUGAUGCAGCAACGCCGCGUGCGGGAAGACGGUCUUCGGAUUGUAAACCGCUUUUCUUAGUGAAGAAUUUUGACGGUAGCUAAGGAAUAAGCAUCGGCUAACUACGUGCCAGCAGCCGCGGUAAUACGUAGGAUGCAAGCGUUGUCCGGAUUUACUGGGUGUAAAGGGAGCGCAGGCGGGACUGCAAGUUGGAUGUGAAAUGUCGAGGCUUAACCACGGAGCUGCAUCCAAAACUGUUGUUCUUGAGUGAAGUAGAGGCAGGCGGAAUUCCGAGUGUAGCGGUGAAAUGCGUAGAUAUUCGGAGGAACACCAGUGGCGAAGGCGGCCUGCUGGGCUUUAACUGACGCUGAGGCUCGAAAGUGUGGGGAGCAAACAGGAUUAGAUACCCUGGUA